UCGGCAAAGCUCAAAUUUGAAAUCUAGCACCUUCGGUGUUCGAGUUGUAAUUUGAAGAUGGUAACCUUGGGUUUGGCUCUUGUCUAUGUUCCUUGGAACAGGACGUCAUAGAGGGUGAGAAUCCCGUCUGAUGAGAUGCCCAUUCCUAUGUAAGGUGCUAUCGAAGAGUCGAGUUGUUUGGGAAUGCAGCUCUAAGUGGGUGGUAAAUUCCAUCUAAAGCUAAAUAUUGGCGAGAGACCGAUAGCGAACAAGUACAGUGAUGGAAAGAUGAAAAGAACUUUGAAAAGAGAGUGAAAAAGUACGUGAAAUUGUUGAAAGGGAAGGGCAUUAGAUCAGACUUGGUGUUUUACGAUUAUCUUCUCUUCUUGAGUUGUGCACUCGUAUUUCACUGGGCCAGCAUCGAUUCGGAUGGCAAGAUAAUGGCAGUUGAAUGUGGCUUCACUUCGGUGGAGUGUNAUAGCUUCUGCUGAUAUUGCCUGUCUGGAUCGAAGGCUG
rnacentral:rRNA from 1 species